rnacentral:rRNA from 1 species
GAGCGCCCCGCAAGGGGAGCGGCAGACGGGAUACGUAACACGUGGGAACGUACCCUUCAGUUCGGAACAACCCAGGGAAACUUGGGCUAAUACCGGAUACGUCCGUAAGGAGAAAGAUUUAUCGCUGAGGGAUCGGCCCGCGUCUGAUUAGCUUGUUGGUGAGGUAACGGCUCACCAAGGCGACGAUCAGUAGCUGGUCUGAGAGGAUGAUCAGCCUCACUGGGACUGAGACACGGCCCAGACUCCUACGGGAGGCAGCAGUGGGGAAUAUUGGACAAUGGGCGCAAGCCUGAUCCAGCCAUGCCGCGUGGGUGAUGAAGGCCCUAGGGUUGUAAAGCCCUUUCGGCGGGGAAGAUAAUGACGGUACCCGCAGAAGAAGCCCCGGCUAACUUCGUG